UACGUAGGGGGCGAGCGUUGUCCGGAAUCAUUGGGCGUAAAGAGCUCGUAGGCGGUUCAGUAAGUCAGGUGUGAAAGCUCCGAGCUCAACUCGGAGAGGCCACCUGAUACUGCUGUGACUAGAAGUCCAGUAGGGGAGUGUGGGAACUCCUGGUGUAGCGGUGAAAUGCGCAGAUAUCGUAAGGAAGACCAGUGGCGAAGGCGAAUCUCUGGACAGUUACUGACACUGAGGCACGAAGGCCAGGGGAGCAAACGGG
rnacentral:rRNA from 1 species